UCCCUCUUAGCUCAGUUGGUAAAUCAUCUGCCUGCAAUGCAGGAGACCCAGGUUCAAGUCCUGUGUUGGGAA
rnacentral:tRNA from 1 species